rnacentral:rRNA from 1 species
UACGGAAGGAGCAAGCGUUACUCGGAAUUAUUGGGCGUAAAGGGCGCGUAGGCGAUCUGACAAGUCUGGUGUGAAAGCCCACAUGUUAACUGUGGAAGUGCAUUAGAAACUGUUGGAUUUGAGUUCAGGAGAGGAAGGCAGAAUUCCCGGUGUAGCGGUGAAAUGCGUAGAGAUCGGGAGGAAUACCAGUGGCGAAGGCGGCCUUCUGGACUGACACUGACGCUGAGGCGCGAAAGCCAGGGGAGCAAACGGG